rnacentral:rRNA from 1 species
UGGGGAAUUUUGGACAAUGGGGGCAACCCUGAUCCAGCCAUGCCGCGUGCGGGAAGAAGGCCUUCGGGUUGUAAACCGCUUUUGGUCGGGAAGAAAAGGCAUUCCUUAAUACGGGGUGUUCUUGACGGUACCGGCAGAAUAAGCACCGGCUAACUACGUGCCAGCAGCCGCGGUAAUACGUAGGGUGCGAGCGUUAAUCGGAAUUACUGGGCGUAAAGCGUGCGCAGGCGGUUUGUUAAGUCUGAUGUGAAAGCCCCGGGCUCAACCUGGGAACGGCAUUGGAAACUGGCAAGCUGGAGUGUGGCAGAGGGGGGUGGAAUUCCGCGUGUAGCAGUGAAAUGCGUAGAGAUGCGGAGGAACACCGAUGGCGAAGGCAGCCCCCUGGGCCAACACUGACGCUCAGGCACGAAAGCGUGGGGAGCAAACA